rnacentral:tRNA from 1 species
GAGGGUAUAGCUCAGUGGUAAGAGGGUGUGCCUAGCAUGAGUGAGGUCCUGGGUUCAAUCCCCAGUAUCUCCA